rnacentral:rRNA from 1 species
UACGAGAGGCCCAAACGUUAUUCGGAAUUACUGGGCUUAAAGAGUUCGUAGGCGGCGCAGAAAGUGGGGUGUGAAAGCCCUCGGCUCAACCGAGGAAUUGCGCUCCAAACUACUGUGCUUGAGGAAGCUAGAGGUGAGCAGAACUGAUGGUGGAGCGGUGAAAUGCGUUGAUAUCAUCAGGAAUACUGGAGGCGAAGGCGGCUCACUGGGGCUUUUCUGACGCUGAGGAACGAAAGCCAGGGUAGCGAACGGG